rnacentral:rRNA from 1 species
ACACAUGCAAGUCGAGGGGAAACGGCAUUAAGUGCUUGCACUUUUUGGACGUCGACCGGCGCACGGGUGAGUAACGCGUAUCCAACCUGCCCCUUACCAGGGAAUAACCCGUUGAAAGACGGACUAAUGCCCUAUGCAGUCCUUUGACGGCAUCAGAUUAGGACUAAAGAUUCAUCGGUAUGGGAUGGGGAUGCGUCUGAUUAGCUUGUUGGCGGGGUAACGGCCCACCAAGGCAUCGAUCAGUAGGGGUUCUGAGAGGAAGGUCCCCCACAUAGGAACUGAGACACGGUCCUAACUCCUACGGGAGGCAGCAGUGAGGAAUAUUGGUCAAUGGGCGCUAGCCUGAACCAGCCAAGUAGCGUGCAGGAUGACGGCCCUAUGGGUUGUAAACUGCUUUUAUGCGGGGAUAAAGUCACCCACGUGUGGGUGUUUGCAGGUACCGCAUGAAUAAGGACCGGCUAAUUCCGUGCCAGCAGCCGCGGUAAUACGGAAGGUCCGGGCGUUAUCCGGAUUUAUUGGGUUUAAAGGGAGUGUAGGCGGCCUGUUAAGCGUGUUGUGAAAUGUAGAUGCUCAACAUCUGAACUGCAGCGCGAACUGGCUGGCUUGAGUACACGCAACGUGGGCGGAAUUCAUGGUGUAGCGGUGAAAUGCUUAGAUAUCAUGAGGAACUCCUAUUGCGAAGGCAGCUCACGGG